AAAGGAGUAGGUCCGGCACGGGGGGGUCUCAACAUGGGAUUUUGGGUACAGGUGUGCAGCUGGGAUUUUAAAAACACCCCCCAUUCAUAUAUUGAAUAAUUGUGAAAUCCCUACCUAUACAUAUAUUUCACAGCGAAAUCAUAACCCAUUCAUAUAUUUAUGACCCAUUGAUAUAUCACAAUCGGUCAAUUACUACCUAUUGAUAUAUUUCCUCGGUAAAAUUGCACCCCAUUGAUAUAUUUGACGGAUCAAAAAAGGGACCCAUUCCAGCGGCACAUAUGUAUAUACCUUUAUAUAGGAAGAGACCCCCCCGUGAGGUCCGGUAAGGACCGAUUUUGGCCUCAAAUUUCAGUUUCAUCUGACGAAAGAUUUUGACCACUUUUUAAACACUUAAGUGUCUAUUUCAUAUGAUUUAAUUGAUUUAUGUGAAAGAUUUUAACUUAUUUGGUCAUUAAAAACGAUCCGAUUCAAGCUCAAAUAGGAAAAAUCUAC
rnacentral:lncRNA from 1 species